UCCUCGCACUUUGGUCAAUUUGACUAAAGUUCGAUAUUUAUUCUCCGAAUUUUCGGUAUAUUACAUUCUCCACCCCUUAAAAUAAUUUCGUCCGCGAAAUUACGCAUACCUUAACUCGUCGACUCAAAUAAAUGCGGUUACUCUCUCCGCAUAGUCUCCUCGAGCUCCCAAAUGGCUUCUCGCAUAGCAUGGUUACUCCAUUAGACCUUCACAUAAGGAAUUCUGCGACUCCGCACCUUUCUUUCUUCUCUAUCGAGGAUGCACACCAGGUACUCCUCAUAAGACAUAUCCUCACGUAGCUCCACGGGCUCGUACUCCAAUACAUGUGUCGAGUUUCAAAUAUACUUUCGGAGAUUUGACACAUGGAAAACAUUGUGAACUCCCGCGAGUCUCGGUGGUAGUGCGAGCUUGUAUGCCACCGCACCCACACGCUCUAGUAUCUCGAAUGGUCCGACAUAACG
rnacentral:lncRNA from 1 species